UACGUAGGGUGCGAGCGUUGUCCGGAAUUAUUGGGCGUAAAGCGUGCGCAGGCGGUUUGUUAAGUCCGUUGUGAAAGCCCCGAGCUCAACUUGGGAAUUGCAGUGGAUACUGGCAGGCUGGAGUACGGUAGAGGAAGGUGGAAUUCCCGGUGUAGCAGUGAAAUGCGUAGAUAUCGGGAGGAACACCAGUGGCGAAGGCGGCCUUCUGGACCAGUACUGACGCUCAUGCACGAAAGCGUGGGGAGCAAACAGG
rnacentral:rRNA from 1 species